rnacentral:tRNA from 1 species
GGGCCCGUGGCGCAGCCUGGAUAGCGCGGCAUCAACCGCCGAAGCUGACGGUCGGGGGUUCAAAUCCCCCCGGGCCCG